UACGGAGGGAGCUAGCGUUGUUCGGAAUUACUGGGCGUAAAGCGCACGUAGGCGGCUUUGUAAGUUAGAGGUGAAAGCCCGGAGCUCAACUCCGGAAUUGCCUUUAAGACUGCAUCGCUUGAAUCCAGGAGAGGUGAGUGGAAUUCCGAGUGUAGAGGUGAAAUUCGUAGAUAUUGGGAAGAACACCGGUGGCGAAGGCGGCGCUCUGGACCGAGACUGACGCUGAGGCGCGAAAGCGUGGGGAGCAAACAGG
rnacentral:rRNA from 1 species